ensembl:lncRNA
GGAAACACAGAAGCUGGAAGUGCUCUAUUCUGGGAGCUCAGCAGAGAAAAUCACUUAGCCACAAGCCUGAUGACCUGGAUUCAAUCCCUGGGGCCCACAUAGUGGAAGGAAAGAAACAACUUCCACAAAUCGCCCCCAGACCUCCACAUGAUGCCCUGGAACACAUGAGUCUGCAGCCCCCCAACCACUGGAAUUGCAAGCAUGUCAGAAAUUUAAAAGGGUAUUUUAUCACAGCAACAGAAAUGAAAUGAGAAUACAGGAUGACAGCUUUGAGCACAAACUGGAACUCAAGCUACUGGGACUCAAGGGACUAGGACUCAAGGAACUGGACUUAAGCUACUUUUGUGGUUACCAUGUCUACUUUGCCACUAUGAAAUGACAGUGGUGAUGAACUUUAUAACCAGGACAGGAAGUGCUGUGAUUCCUGCCUUCAUGUGCUCCCCAUCCAAUCCAACAGCCCAGGACUGUCAAUAUACUACAUGUCAAAAUAAAGGAGGGAACCUAACAUUGUUAGGUACAUUGGAUUUAAACUAAGAAGAGAGGGCAAAGGUAAGACAUAGGCCCCUCACAGUCUCCUUGCAGCUCCCCUACAGGGAUUUGUGUCUCUUCUUAUGUGACCAACCACUGGAAUCAACUUUUAUAUUUAUGUAUUACUUAAAUGGCCCUUAAUCCAUCUUUCUACCUAGUAAGUCAAUCUACUGGUUUUGGUAGGUCAGGGGCAAGUAUUUAGUAUGCAAAAUUUGAAUCAGAGGAAAAGAACUUUAUUUUUUUCCCUUCCAACAAGAUUAUAAACUGAUUUGCAACAACAUACCUUCUUGAUUUUAAUAGUUGCCUGACAAAGACAUCUACAACAGAAAAAAAUUAUAAUUCUGUGCUUGCUUUUUAUAUUACAGAUAAGUUCAAUGCAUUCAAGGUGGAAUGGCUAUAGACUGCUUUUGGUAUCACAGAUCUAUUAUUUAGAACGAAUCUUAUUAGAAUAGAGAUGAUAUCAUAUGCUGUAUUUGCUUUUAAUUUGAAGAAAACUUGCAUGUUUUCCUAAAUCUUC